rnacentral:rRNA from 1 species
GAUGAACGCUGGCGGCGUGCCUAAUACAUGCAAGUCGAGCGAACGGACGAGAAGCUUGCUUCUCUGAUGUUAGCGGCGGACGGGUGAGUAACACGUGGAUAACCUACCUAUAAGACUGGGAUAACUUCGGGAAACCGGAGCUAAUACCGGAUGAUAUUUUGAACCGCAUGGUUCAAAAGUGAAAGACGGUCUUGCUGUCACUUAUAGAUGGAUCCGCGCUGCAUUAGCUAGUUGGUAAGGUAACGGCUUACCAAGGCAACGAUGCAUAGCCGACCUGAGAGAGUGAUCGGCCACACUGGAACUGAGACACGGUCCAGACUCCUAGGGGAGGCAGCAGUAGGGAAUCUUCCGCAAUGGGCGAAAGCCUGACGGGGCAACGCCGCGUGAGUGAUGAAGGUGUUCGGAUCGUAAAGCUCUGUUAUUAGGGAAGAACAUAUGUGUAAGUAACUGUGCACAUCUUGACGGUACCUAAUCAGAAAGCCACGGCUAACUACGUG